rnacentral:lncRNA from 1 species
UGUCAACAGAAAAACAAGAUAUUUCAAAAUUAUAUAAAUAAUGAUUUUCCAUCCAUUCCAGUUCUCUCGAUCUCUUGUUGCCAACUGUAUUUCUAGGUUCAUUAACUACAACAGGAUUUGGCUCAAUGUGUGUCAAUAUCAUCAUGAGGAACAUCAUUAUAAUAGUCGUCAUCUAUUACAAAUAGAGGUUCUGUAUCCUCUUCAAUUUCAUAUUGUUCCUCUAAAUUUUCUAAGAAAGUAGCAUAUCUACUUUCAAUCAUUUCUUUUUCUUUGUUGUAAAAUUUAUAUAUUUUGAAAUGUUCCGAG